rnacentral:lncRNA from 1 species
UCGGAUCUCCCGCCCAAGACCUUCGACGCUCUUAGGAGAGCCUGCUCCGAAAACGAGCAGACUCUGGAUAGUGCUGCAUAGGUCGUGCGUAGAGCUGGAAGUAGCAGGUCGGGACGGUGCACUUAAGCUACUGGCCGACCUUAAGGUAAUGUAAGCUUACAUUGCCGCCCGUUGGCUGGUCCGCGAGUUUUAGGUCUUGGGUCCGGAGCGGCAGUAAGUGCCUGGAUCUUUUGAGAGGAAUAUUUAUUGGCUUCACUGGCGGCUUCUCGCUAGCGGCGGUCCCCAAUUUGCUCUGCCUAUGUACGCCUCUUCGUCCUCCUCCUUGCAUCUAGGCUGCAGCUGUGUGCCUUAUCCUUAGGUCUAGGUUUCUACACAAGGCAUAUUUUGGUGCGUCAAUGUUGAUAAUUGGGCAUUCACAAGUGAUUGGUGAAGACACGUAUGUUUGCGUGUGUAGACAGGCGAGACAGGUGCAGGUGAAAGGCACUACUUGUGCCUACCAGCAGGUGGUAAACGAUGGUGGCCCAAGUGGAUCUGGACGUGGGCUGAUGGAAUUCAAAAAUCCUAUUGCAGCUCAAGAGGUACUUCGGAGUAUUGACUGCUAUUAUCCUGACAGCAUUUAAAGCCGGAAAUGUGUGUUUCAUGUGUUGCACACAGUAACGAAGGUUCUUGCAACCUCAUGGUGUGGGGUUUGUAGUGUAGUGAGCUGCUGUACAUUGUGUUUGCAGGUUAGAGAUGCCAAUCCCAAGUCCCAGGCCGAGGCCACCGCUCGCCAAGGAAUGGAUGCUAUGGUCUUGGAG